rnacentral:rRNA from 1 species
AUUGAACGCUGGCGGCAGGCCUAACACAUGCAAGUCGGGCGAGCCGCGGGCGGGAGAGUAAUGUAUGGGGCUCUGCCUGAUGGAGGAGGUUCACUACUGGAAACGGUAGCUAAUAACGCAUACCAUCAGAUGAACCCAUAUGGGAUUAGGUUGUAGGAGAGGUAACGGCUCACCAAGGCGACGAUCCCUAGCUGGUCUGAUAGGAUGAUCAGCAACACUGGUACUGAGACACGGCCCAGACUCCUACGGGAGGCAGCAGUGGGGAAGAUUGCACAAUGGGCGCAAGCCGGAUGCAGCCAUGCCGCGUGUAUGAAGAAGGCCUUCGGGUUGUAAAGUACUUUCAGUCGGGAGGCGUUACCGACAGAAGAAGCACCGGCUAACUCCGUGCCAGCAGCCGAGGUAAUUC